CCAACGAGCAGCCGCCCAGCCCUUGGCCGUGGUGGUGAGAAGACCGUGGAUAUGGGCCAGUUUUGGUGACCCAAAUGGGAUGCUGGGAUACCCCACCUGAUCUGGAGCCUGCACAAGUGGCAUCCUGGAAAAACUGGCAGAAUCUCCUGGAUCUUUGCCUGUAGGGCCUGGUCAAGAGAGAAAGGUGGCCAACCGUCAGACUGUCCAGACAGAAAUGUGGACUGCACCUCCUUAGCAACUAGUGUCCUUCCUACCAACCAGUGCCAGCUCUCAGGGCAGUUGUCUAAGACUUCCUUUCGACUGUCUGUGCAAGUGGUCCUGGAUCUCCAGAGGGUUGUAUCUAUUGCUGUAUCUUUGGGGACACUUCUUAUAUCUGUGUUUAAGCCAUUAAAAGCUUAUUGUUUUAAAUCA